rnacentral:lncRNA from 1 species
GGCCAGGCUGUUUAGGGAGGCACAGCCUUCCCUACCUGGCCCUCCGUACAGUUUCACCACCUCGAUGUGGCCCUUUAUGCCUGUCCGUGUCGCCCGCCAUGGGAGCUGCAGCCCCACUCCAGGCAGGGAUGAAGAAGCAGACAGGAUAAGGGGAUGCAUGACCCCCCAAAAUUUGUGGACCACUGACUUAAAGGGAGAGAUGCUAUGAAAUGCUAACCUGUAUUAUACUGUUCAGCCACUAGUUAAACAUUGUCUUGUUUUCACAGCCACUUUCGACCUCCUGGCUUCUACCCCCUACCCUGCUGGCAGGGCAUUGUGCAGCACCCUUUCCAGCCCACUUGGAUGCGGGAGAUCAAGGAAGAGAGCAUGUGUCAUCCAGCUCCAUCCCAUCUAGAGCGAGUGGAGCUGCAGAUGGAGGACACUGGCAACAGAUGGUCCAUCUCAGGAUCUCUGGGACAUUGGAGGAUCUGGCUCUUUAUUGCCAAAGCAGGAGAUCAACAGAUCUGGGGUGAUAGCACAGUCUUCACUGGAUCCUUUGGUGGAUUACAGGAGUCAGGUUUCGUUCCUUUUUCCAAAGACUCACCUCUAGGGAGCACAGAGAGAUCCAUGUGCACAAAGUGCUUGUCCAACCUGCAGCAAGUGAGGAAUGCUGUGACUUCAGCCAACAAGAACAAGCCUUGCCAGAGAAGCCCCAAAGAAGCAAAUGCUCAUGGACCAUCCUAGCAGGCUUGAAAAGACUCUGUGUCUGUAGCCAAUCUGAACCUCAAUGGCAGAUAGGGAUGAGAGAACAGUUUCCUCACAAAGAAGGUGGACGCACUUGUCCCAGAAGAAGAAAGCAGCUGAGAACCAGGUGGAGUCAGAGGAGGGGAAGCUGCAGGAGGAUACAGGAAAAGUUGAACUGGAUCGUACAGGGACGAAGAAGGAGGCAUCUGAGUCGCAGAGGAAGUGGGGAAAAAGGGAGCCCAGAAGAGCAGGAAGAAGAGCGCACUCCCAUCCUCUCAUUACCAAGCAGCUCCCAUAUAACGAUGACCACCGGGGAGCAGCUUUCCUCAGCCCAGCUCCAAGGCCUGCUGAUGAGAGCUGUGAAGGGUCUGACAACAUCCACCCUGGAGCGAUUUCCAGCCGCAGAAGAAGAGCUGAGGACCAUCAUCUCUCUACACGGAGACCAGAUGGAGAGAGUAAAGGUACGUCUAUACUACGGGAUUAUUCCAAUUUUUCAUAAACCGGUUUUAUAAAACAGAUUGUAUAAAGUCGAGUGCACACAGUCACGCUAAGCACAUUAAUUCGG